UAUGAAAGAAAAUGGAAUUCAAUUAUUGCAGUUUGGUGUUCCUGGAAAUAAAGAGCCUUUUUUUGAUAUUCCAGACGCUGUUAUUCAAAUGGCACUUUCUGCACUUUUGGACACAAGAAAUUAUCCUUUAUUAGUCCACUGCAAUAAAGGAAAACAUCGAACGGGAUGCUUAAUUGGAUGUUUGAGAAAAGUUCAGGGCUGGUGCCACACUUCUAUAUGUGAAGAAUAUCGUCGCUUUGCCUUUCCAAAACCACGAACGAUGGAUCAACAAUUCAUUGAACUUUUUGAUGUCUCGCAAGUAAAAUA